rnacentral:rRNA from 1 species
GACGAACGCUGGCGGCGUGCCUAAUACAUGCAAGUAGAACGCUGAAGAAAGGAGCUUGCUUCUUUUGGAUGAGUUGCGAACGGGUGAGUAACGCGUAGGUAACCUGCCUUGUAGCGGGGGAUAACUAUUGGAAACGAUAGCUAAUACCGCAUAACAGCUUUUGACACAUGUUAGAAGCUUGAAAGAUGCAAUUGCAUCACUACGAGAUGGACCUGCGUUGUAUUAGCUAGUAGGUAGGGUAACGGCCUACCUAGGCGACGAUACAUAGCCGACCUGAGAGGGUGAUCGGCCACACUGGGACUGAGACACGGCCCAGACUCCUACAGGAGGCAGCAGUAGGGAAUCUUCGGCAAUGGGGGCAACCCUGACCGAGCAACGCCGCGUGAGUGAAGAAGGUUUUCGGAUCGUAAAGCUCUGUUGUAAGAGAAGAACGUGUGUGAGAGUGGAAAGUUCACACAGUGACGGUAACUUACCAGAAAGGGACGGCUAACUACGUGCCAGCAGCCGCGGUAAUACGUAGGUCCCGAGCGUUGUCCGGAUUUAUUGGGCGUAAAGCGAGCGCAGGCGGUUUAAUAAGUCUGAAGUUAAAGGCAGUGGCUUAACCAUUGUUCGCUUUGGAAACUG